rnacentral:rRNA from 1 species
GUGCAGCAGGCGCGAAACCUCCGCAAUGCGGGAAACCGCGACGGGGGACCCGAGUGCCGUGGCAACGCCACGGCUUUUCCGGAGUGUAAAAGCUCCGGGAAUAAGGGCUGGGCAAGGCCGGUGGCAGCCGCCGCGGUAAUACCGGCGGCCCGAGUGGUGGCCGCUAUUAUUGGGCCUAAAGCGUCCGUAGCCGGGCCCGUAAGUCCCUGGCGAAAUCCCACGGCUCAACCGUGGGGCUUGCUGGGGAUACUGCGGGUCUUGGGACCGGGAGAGGCGGGGGGUACCCCUGGGGUAGGGGUGAAAUCCUAUAAUCCCCAGGGGGACCGCCAGUGGCGAAGGCGCCCCGCUGGAACGGGUCCGACGGUGAGGGACGAAGGCCAGGGGAGCAAACCGGAUUAGAUA